AUUGAACGCUGGCGGCAGGCCUAACACAUGCAAGUCGAGCGAGCGGCGGACGGGUGAGUAAUGUCUGGGAAACUGCCUGAUGGAGGGGGAUAACUACUGGAAACGGUAGCUAAUACCGCAUACCAUCAGAUGUGCCCAGAUGGGCUUUGCUAGUAGGUGGGGUAACGGCUCACCUAGGCGACGAUCCCUAGCUGGUCUGAGAGGAUGACCAGCAACACUGGAACUGAGACAAAGUCAAGACUCCUACGAGAGGCAGCAGUGGGGAAGAAUGCACAAUGGGCGCAAGCCUGAUGCAGCCAUGCCGCGUGUGAGAAGAGGGCGUUCGGGUUGUAAAGAACUUUCAGCCGGGAGGCGUUAACCGCACAAGAAGCACCGGCUAACUCCGAGCCAGCGGCGGCGGUAAUAC
rnacentral:rRNA from 1 species